UGUGGGUAAUGUGCUGACCUGCGGUGGAUCAUUA
rnacentral:rRNA from 1 species